CGCAUCUGUGCAUGCAGCAUAUCAAUAAGCGGAGGAAAAGAAACUAACAAGGAUUCCCCUAGUAACGGCGAGUGAAGCGGGAAGAGCUCAAAUUUGAAAUCUUAAAGGGUUUCCCUUUACGAAUUGUAGUUUAAAGAAGUGUUUUCUGUUGAGGUUUUGGUAAAAGUUCUUUGGAAUAGGACAUCAUAGAGGGUGAGAAUCCCGUAUUUGACCUUUACUUUCAACUUUGUGAUACACUUUCAAAGAGUCGGAUUGUUUGGGAAUGCAGUCCAAAAUGGGUGGUAAAUUUCAUCUAAAGCUAAAUAUUGGCGAGAGACCGAUAGCGAACAAGUACCGUGAGGGAAAGAUGAAAAGAACUUUGAAAAGAGAGUUAAACAGUACGUGAAAUUGUCAAAAGGGAAGCGUUUGACACCAGUGUUGUUUUUCUGAAAAUCAAUUAAAGAACUGUUUAUGCUAAGUUGUUUAGACUUUAUCAGCUAACUGUUUAGUUUUGAGCUUUUCUUUAAUGCACUUUUCAGUUAACAAGUCAACAUCAACUUCUUUUGCUGUAAAAAAGCUUGAGGAAGGUGGCUUGAGAUUCGUCUUAAGUGUUUAUAGCCUCUUGCCUAUGCAGUCGGAGAGAUUGAGGUCUGCAGCGUAGAUCCUUCGGGGCUAAAUGCAUUUGUGCUAAGUUAUAGCAUUUUAUAGGCAACUUGUUGACUAUGAUUUGUCUUGUAGCUUACUCGCUUAUGUUAUUUUACCUACGCUUAGGAUGUUGAGCGCAUGUCUCUCUCU
rnacentral:rRNA from 1 species